CUUGCCUCUGCAUGCUAUUUUCCAAUGUGUGUAACAUACAAAAUAAAGUUAUCAUGGUCACAAUUUAACCCAAAAAAUGCUGGAUUAAAUGAAAUGAAACAGGUUCUCUCUCUCUCUCUUUUUUUUCUCUGUGCUCUUCUCCAGAAGGGACUUUCCCACGGGCAGCGUAGGACAGAAGUCUUUUUUUCCCUGGGAGUCCAUCCUGUGGGAUUUGUGCUCUGGGGCAUGUCCCGUAGAAAAUUUGAUGUUAGCUAGAAGUUCACAGAGUACUGGGGCAGGGUGAUACAUGAAGACAGAUUUAUGAGAAUGUCACUGGUGAUGAGGCAGACAUGGGAUGUGCUCACGGGGACCUAUCUUGCGGACAGAAAACUCUCCUCCCUCUGCCUUGUGCUUUAUGUAGAUGAAGUCUCCUUCCAAGGACCACUCAAGAGCGGACUUAUUGCCUAAGAACAGAUUGCUUCUGAAAAACCGUCUUGUAACCAAGGUGUUGAAGAAAGAAGAGACAAGUGGAAGACAACCAGAUUGAGGCAAUGACAAAGACAGAACAGGGUGCCAGCUACCGCUGACAUGACGUCUGCUAUGCGCCCAGCCUCCUAUUAAGGAAUUCAACUUUUCUAUCAACGCUUUGAGCAUAACCUCGCUCAUCCUGACUGAUGCGCCAUAGAAGAUCUUCUGGAAGAUGAUUUUGAAGAUGAACAUCGUUUUUGCCAAACAGAGAGAACAGAGAGGAAAUUGGAAGCUUGAAUUUAGAGGUGGCUGUGGAAUUGCCGAGUCCUGCUUGUUGGAACACGGGAAGGUCUCUACAAGGGGAGGGCUGAGCUGUGUAGAGAGAAGCUCAGUCCAGAGAGAUGUAGAGACAGCACAGUGGAGGCUUGGAGGCUCUGCCUGGCCCUGGAGUAUUCUCUUUGGAAUGCACAAUAUGUUACAUUAAAAACACUUUUUUGGGGACUAAUAUUAAAAUGUCAGACUAUUUCACAUAAAGUUCUGGAUUUCUCAUUCUUUUUUUUUUUUUUUAAGAUUUUAUUUAUUUAUUUGAAAGAGAGAGAGAGACAGCCAGUGAGAGAGGGAACACAAGCUGGGGGAGUGGGAGAGGAAGAAGCAGGCUCCCACAGAGCAGGGAGCCCGAUGUGGGGCUUGAUCCCAGGACCCUGGGAUCACGCCCUGAGCUGAAGGCAGACGCUUAACAACUGAGCCACCCGGGCUCCCUGGCAUUCUUUUUUUAAAAAAAUAAUUAAUUUAUUUGAGAGAGAAUGAGAAAGCACCUGAGUUGCGGGAGGGGCAGAUAGAGAGAGAGAAAGAAUCUUAAGUAGGAGUGGAGCCGCAAGCCAGGCUUGACCUCACAAUCCUGAGAUCAGGACCUGAGCCGGAAUCAAGAGUUGGACGCUUAACCAGCUGAGCUGCCCAGGUGCCCCUGGAUUUCUCAUUCUUUAAAAAAAAAAAAAGAAAAAAAAAUCUCUGGCAACAUUGGACCUUGCUCUAUGGCAACAAUUGGCUGGACCUGAAUAGUGGGUGUGUGUUGUUCAGCUUAUCACAGACCCUGAAUGUGGUCUUGCACCCCUCUCAGUGGUCUUGCACCCCUCUCAGUGGUGCAAGCAGUGGGGCGCCUGGUGGCUCAGUCCGUUGAGUGUCUGCCUUUGGCUCAGGUCAUGAUCCCAGCGUCCCGGGAUCAAGCCCCACAUCGGGCUCCCUGCUAAAUGAGGAGCCUGUUUCUUCCUCUCCCUCUGCCCCUCCCCCUGCUAGUGCACGCGCGCUCUCUUUCUCUCUCUCUUUCUCUCUCCUCUCUCUCGCUGGUGCUCUGUCUCUCAAAUAAAUAAAUAAAAUCUUAAAAAAAUAUGUAAUGG
rnacentral:lncRNA from 1 species